rnacentral:rRNA from 1 species
AACGAACGCUGGCGGCAUGCCUAACACAUGCAAGUCGAACGAGACCUUCGGGUCUAGUGGCGCACGGGUGCGUAACGCGUGGGAAUCUGCCCUUGGGUGCGGAAUAACAGUUAGAAAUGACUGCUAAUACCGCAUAAUGACUCCGGUCCAAAGAUUUAUCGCCCAGGGACGAGCCCGCGUCGGAUUAGCUAGUUGGUAGGGUAAAAGCCCACCAAGGCAACGAUCCGUAGCUGGUCUGAGAGGAUGAUCAGCCACACUGGGACUGAGACACGGCCCAGACUCCUACGGGAGGCAGCAGUGGGGAAUAUUGGACAAUGGGCGAAAGCCUGAUCCAGCAAUGCCGCGUGAGUGAUGAAGGCCUUAGGGUUGUAAAGCUCUUUUACCCGGGAUGAUAAUGACAGUACCGGGAGAAUAAGCCCCGGCUAACUCCGUGCCAGCCGCCGCGGUAAAAC